AGAGUUUGAUCAUGGCUCAGGACGAACGCUGGCGGCGCGCCUAACACAUGCAAGUCGAGCGAGAACCUGGGCUUCGGCCCAGGGGACAGCGGCGAACGGGUGAGUAACACGUGGAUAACCUGCCCUCGGCACCGGAAUAGCCCGGGGAAACCCGGAUUAAUGCCGGAUAGCCCCACAUCCCCUCGGGGAACGUGGGAAAAGGUAGCUUCGGCCUCUGGCCGAGGAUGGGUCCGCGGUGGAUUAGCUUGUUGGCGGGGUAAUGGCCCACCAAGGCGACGAUCCAUAGCUGGUCUGAGAGGACGAUCAGCCACACUGGGACUGAGACACGGCCCAGACUCCUACGGGAGGCAGCAGUGGGGAAUCUUGCGCAAUGGGCGAAAGCCUGACGCAGCGACGCCGCGUGCGGGAAGAAGGCCUUAGGGUUGUAAACCGCUUUCAGGAGGGACGAAGCUACUCGGGUGAAUAGCCCAGAGGGUGACGGUACCUCCAGAAGAAGCCCCGGCUAACUACGUGCCAGCAGCCGCGGUAAUACGUAGGGGGCAAGCGUUGUCCGGAUUCAUUGGGCGUAAAGAGCGUGUAGGCGGCCAGGUAGGUCGGUUGUGAAAACUGGAGGCUCAACCUUCAGAGGUCGACCGAGACCAUCUGGCUAGAGUCCGGGAGAGGAGAGUGGAAUUCCUGGUGUAGCGGUGAAAUGCGCAGAUAUCAGGAAGAACACCCGUGGCGAAAGCGGCUCUCUGGAACGGUACUGACGCUGAGACGCGAAAGCGUGGGGAGCGAACAGGAUUAGAUACCCUGGUAGUCCACGCCGUAAACGAUGGGCGCUAGGUGUGGGAGGUGUCGACUCCUUCCGUGCCGCAGCUAACGCAUUAAGCGCCCCGGCCUGGGGGAGUACGGCCGCAAGGCUAAAACUCAAAUGAAUUGACGG
rnacentral:rRNA from 1 species